rnacentral:rRNA from 1 species
GGGUCGUAAACUGCUUUUCUGCGGGAAGAAUCUCUCGAUCGUGAUCGGGACUGACUGUACCGCAGGAAUAAGGAUCGGCUAACUCCGUGCCAGCAGCCGCGGUAAUACGGAGGAUCCAAGCGUUAUCCGGAUUUAUUAGGUUUAAAGGGUGCGUAGGCGGGAUAGUAAGUCAGUGGUGAAAGCCUGCGGCUUAACCGUAGAAUUGCCAUUGAUACUACUAUUCUUGAGUACAGUUGAGGUGGGCGGAAUGUGUUAUGUAGCGGUGAAAUGCAUAGAUAUGACACAGAACACCGAUUGCGAAGGCAGCUCACUAAGCUGAUACUGACGCUGAGGCACGAAAGCGUGGGGAGCAAACAGGAUUAGAUACCCUGGUAGUCCACGCCGUAAACGAUGAUCACUAGCUGUAGGCGAUAUACAGUCUGCGGCUGAGCAAAAGUAUUAAGUGAUCCACCUGGGGAGUACGUCAGCAAUGAUGAAACUCAAAGGAAUUGACGGGGGCCCGCACAAGCGGAGGAACAUGUGGUUUAAUUCGAUGAUACGCGAGGAACCUUACCUGGGCUUAAAUGCUUUCUGAUCGUUUCGGAAACGGAAUUUCCCUUCGGGGCAGAUUGCAAGGUGCUGCAUGGUUGUCGUCAGCUCGUGCCGUGAGGUGUCGGGUUAAGUCCCAUAACGAGCGCAACCCUUAUUGUUAGUUACCAGCGGGUAAUGCCGGGGACUCUAACAAAACUGCCGGUGUAAACCGUGAGGAAGGUGGGGAUGACGUCAAAUCAGCACGGCCCUUAUGUCCAGGGCUACACACGUGUUACAAUGGCCAGUACAAAAGGCAGCUACCUGGUAACAGGAUGCUAAUCCCCANACCUGGUCCCAGUUCGGAUCGGAAUCUGCAACUCGAUUUCGUG